CGUGUAGGUGGUUAGGUAAGUCGGAUGUGAAAUCCCUGGGCUCAACCGAGGAAGUGCAUUCGAAACUACCUAGCUAGAGGACGGUAGAGGAAGGUGGAAUUCCUAGUGUAGAGGUGAAAUUCGUAGAUAUUAGGAGGAAUACCGGUGGCGAAGGCGGCCUUCUGGGCCGUUCCUGACACUGAGACGCGAAAGCGUGGGUAGCAAACAGGAUUAGAUACCCUGGUAGUCCACGCUGUAAACGAUGGGUACUAGGUGUUGUAGGAAUUGACCCCUGCAGUGCCGACGCUAACGCAUUAAGUACCCCGCCUGGGAAGUACGGCCGCAAGGUUAAA
rnacentral:rRNA from 1 species